AAUCCGUGAUGUGGACAUAUAUUCAUCAAAUCCUUGAACCUCUCCCAACAAGCCUAGAAGGUCUUAUCACCUUUCUGCAUAAAUUAACUUACCCGCUCCUGCAAGUAU